GUGAGCCGGUGGAAACAUCGGGGCCGAAAGGAGCCUAUACAGGUGGUGCAUGGCUGUCGUCAGCUCGUGUCGUGAGAUGUUGGGUUAAGUCCCGCAACGAGCGCAACCCUCGUCGCAUGUUGCCAGCGGUUCGGCCGGGCACCCAUGCGAGACCGCCGGCGUUAAGCCGGAGGAAGGUGGGACGACGUCAAGUCAUCAUGCCCCUUAUGUCCUGGGCUGCACACGUGCUACAAUGGCCGGCACAAUGGGCUGCAAACCCGCGAGGGUAAGCGAAUCCCCAAAGCCGGUCCCAGUUCGGAUUGGAGGCUGCAACCCGCCUCCAUGAAGUCGGAGUUGCUAGCAAUCGUGGAUCAGCACGCCGCGGCGAAUGCGUUCCCGGGCCUUGUACACACCG
rnacentral:rRNA from 1 species